UGGGUAUGACUUAUCGUUCACUAUGGGUAGGUCGAUCAAGUAGGGGGUAAUCUUUUAAACUAGAUCGUUGUAUUUAGACACAAGUUGUACUACGUGAUAACUAAGCUUGAAUAAUAGAUAGCCACUGCAGUCAGGAACGUAGGUACAAUCAUCAUGAGUUAUAUUUGGUCAUGUACUUCUAUGCUGUUUCAGAUCACUUAUUUGUCAAUUAGAAGAAGUAGGUCCAGGGAAUUUGAAACACGAGAAGUUAGCUUUCUAGAUCAACGUACACAAUGCUUCAGUGAUGCAUGAUUUUUUGGCUUAUGGAAUUCCACAAAACAAUGUGAAAAGAUUCUUUCUUCUUUGGAAGGCUAUAUAUAAUGUUGGAGGUCAUACGGUCAGUGCAGACACAAUACAAAAUACUAUACUAGGUUGCCGAAUGUCUCGUCCUGGACAGACAACAAAUAUCGUACAUACUCUAAGGAUAAGUUGCAUGAAGUGAAGGAGGAAUGGGCAGAUUAUAUGGUCACAAAUAUUCUUCCCGAGGCAAAUUUUUUAAGGUGUGGCCAUCGUAAGAAGCUUACAUUGUUCCUCAACCUGGACUUCUUGGAAAUAUUAGAAUGGUGCUGGCUUGGCGAGAAAUCCUAAAGCGUUCAAGUCGUGUCUUGGUUGCUGCAUUAUUUCUUCUUCUGCAUAGUAUUAUUAAGUGUAGGGAUAGGCAUAGGAUUAUUAAGUGUAGGGAUAGGUGGGUGAUUAUCAUUAGCAGGUAUAGCACCUUUGUAUUAGCCUUUGGUGUUCUUAUUAUUUAUGUAUCAGCAUAACUUUGUUUUGGUGGGUGAGUCUUGUGUAUUGAAUAUCUAUAUGUAUGUCCAGCCCUACAAUCUUUGUAUACAUAUUUUGCUUCAAUUCAAUUUUGUUUUUCCAAAAAGAAAGAUAUAUAUGAGAGU